rnacentral:lncRNA from 1 species
AUGAAUACAUUGUGCUUUAAACAGUUUUACAUCAGAUUUUUUCCUUACAUUCUAAUAUGCAAUACAGUAAAGGACAAAUCAUUGGUGAAACUACGUAUAUUCCAUAUAUUUCAUGUAUUCUUUUAUGUAGGCAUAAACAUUCAAAACACUUUGCACUUAUGCCCUGAGCUGGCUUCUGCAUAUCAGCAAAAACUCAAAAGUAAACUAAGGCAGGAAUAUACAAGAAUUAAUGAGGGAAUCUCACUGCAUGGAGCAUCAACCAUUCUGAAUGAGAUCUACACAGAGCUCUACAUCACAGAGGGAGGGAGUGCAGAGGUGAAUAAUGAACACGAGGUCAGACAGAUCGAGACGGCAUCCAGGAGACCAGACACACAGGAGAAACCAAUCAACUGCAAUGACCUCUUUAAAGACAAAUCAAUCAAAACAGUUCUUACGAAAGGAGUUGCUGGAAUUGGAAAAACAGUCUCUGUGCAGAAGUUCAUUCUGGACUGGGCCGAAGGAAAAGCAAAUCAGGAAAUUCACUUCAUAUUCCCACUUCCUUUCAAAAAACUGAAUAUAAUAAAGGAACCACUGAGUCUAAUGGAGCUUCUUCAUCACUUUUUCCAUGAACUAAAUACAUUACAAACAGUAGACUGUAAUACUUACAAAAUCUUGUUUAUUUUUGAUGGUCUGGAUGAGUGUCGACUUCCUCUAGAUUUCCUAAAUAAUAAACUGCUAUGGGAUGUAACACAUAAAGCCUCAGUGGAUGUGCUGUUGACAAACCUCAUCAUGGGGAAUCUACUCCAGUCUGCCCUCAUCUGGGUAACCUCUCGACCAGCAGCAGCCAAUCAGAUCCCUCCUGAGUAUGUUCAAAGGGUAACAGAGGUCCGAGGGUUCAGUGACCACCAGAAAGAGGAGUACUUCAGGAAAAGAAUUAGUAAUCAGACCCUGGCCAAUAACAUCAUUACGCACAUGAAAUCAUCAAGAAGCCUUUACAUCAUGUGCCACAUUCCAGUCUUCUGUUGGAUUGCAGCCACUGUUCUAGAGAGAGUGUUGGGUGAAGCAGAGACUGGAGAGAUCCCAAAGACUUUGACUCAAAUGUUCACACACUUCCUUAUCUUUCAGGUAAAACACAGGAACCAAAAGUACCAAGGAAAAUGUGACCCGGAUCCUCAGAAGACUAAAGAGAGUAUUCUGGCUCUGGGAAAACUCGCUUUUCAACAGCUGGAAAAGGGCAAUCUGAUCUUCUAUGAGGAAGACCUGAGAGAUUGUGGCAUUGAUGUCUCAGAAGUAUCAGUGUACUCGGGAGUUUGCACUCAGAUCUUCAGAGAAGAGUUUUGGCUGCACCUAAGUAGAGUGUUCAGCUUUAUUCACCUGAGUGUUCAGGAGUUUCUGGCUGCAUUAUACGCAUUUCUCACAUUCGUCUGUAAAGAUGUAACAAAACACCUGACUACUAAUCUCUCUGUUAUUUUCAAACAGUCCACAAUGUCAGACUUCCUCAAGUCUGCAGUGGACAAGGCAUUACAGAGUGAGAAUGGACACCUGGAUCUUUUCCUUCGAUUUCUUUUGGGCCUCUCACUGGAGUCUAAUCAGACUCUUCUACGAGGUCUACUGACACAGGCAGAAUGCAGGUCUCACAACAAGGAGGAAACAGUUCAAUACAUCAAGGAGAAAAUCAGGGAAAAUCCCUCUCCAGAGAAAUCCAUCAAUUUGUUUCACUGUCUAAAUGAGCUGAAUGAUCAUUCUCUAUUGCAAGAAGUACAAGAAUAUGUAAGCAGGAGAGAUCACAGGCGUCUGAGUGGAGUUAGUCUGUCUCCUGCCCAAUGGUCAGCUCUGGUCUUUGUGUUGCUGAACUCAGAAGAGGAGAUGGACGAGUUUAAUUUGCGUAAAUAUGACAGAUCAGAGGAUUGCCUUCUCAGCUCCUCGAAUCUGAAUGAUCUGAACUUGACUAAUAAUGACCUGCUGCAAGACUCAGGAGUGAAGCUACUUUCUGCUGGACUGAAGAAGCACCCCUUUAUCACUAAGAAUGAAGAAACAUGUGAUCAGAUUUUUCUGACAUGUCAUCAUUUCUCUCUCAGGCUAUGUGACUGUGACCUCACAGAGAAAAGCUGUGCAGCUUUGGCUUCAGUUCUCAGCAUAAAGUCCUCAAGUCUAAAAGAACUGAAUUUGAGUUACAAUGAACUGCUGCGGGACUUAGGAGUGAAGCUGCUUUGUACUGGCUUGGAGAAUCCGCACUGUAAACUGGAGAUACUAGGGUCAGAUCACCGCCUUUGUGAAACUGUGUGUGUUUGUGUAAAAAAUUCACAGUCUUUUUUAUACUUUUCUUGA